rnacentral:rRNA from 1 species
UACAGAGGUCUCAAGCGUUGUUCGGAUUCAUUGGGCGUAAAGGGUGCGUAGGCGGCGCGGUAAGUCGGGUGUGAAAUCUUGGAGCUUAACUCCGAAACUGCAUUCGAUACUGCCGUGCUUGAGGACUGGAGAGGAGACUGGAAUUUACGGUGUAGCGGUGAAAUGCGUAGAUAUUGGGAAGAACACCGGUGGCGAAGGCGGCUCACUGGCCCGUUUCUGACGCUGCAGCGCGAAAGCGUGGGGAUCAAACAGG